GUGAUACUCAGAUAUAAAGAACUUUGUCGCAAUUGUUUGCUUUAUUUACCUGUCAUAUUCACUAUUAACCAUAGGUGCUGCUCAUUUAGUUCAUACCUUUGACCUCUAUGUAGUGUGAUAGUAUUGUUAGGAUCCCAACUGCAUGAAAUAUCUUCCAACACAGCUAGAAAUUCUCUAAAACAUUCUUUUAAUUUUGCCAAAAAAAAAAAAAACAUAUGCAUCUUCACAACUCGAAACCACUCUCCAAAAAUUCUGAAAUUACUCCCAAAUCCAUUGUUUUACGUUCACUAUUAAUGUGGGUUUCUCCAAUUUUUGGCUGUAAAGAACUAGCUGCCAAAUUGGUUCCACAAAAAAAAUUUACUUGUUCAAGAAGGGAGAAGGGGUGGGAUUCUUGAUGAACACUUUUACUUGUUUCCAGGUACUCUACUGACUAUGGCAUGUUCUGAUUCUGCGUAGCUCACACUAAACUUGAUUGGAGAGAGGGAUCAGAGCAAUACAAGUUCAUUGAGAACUGCCUCGCAUCAAUUGAAAGACAAAGACAACCAUGGCUAAUCUUUCUUGCACAUAGAGUACUAGGUUAUUCUUCUGUGGACUUUUAUGUGGAAGAAGGAUCGUUUUAGGAACCAAUGGGAAGGGAGGACCUCGAAAAACUUUGGCAGAAGUACAAGGUUGACAUUGCCCUCUAUGGCCAUGUGCACAAUUAUGAAAGAUCAUGCCCGGUCUACGAGAAUAUCUGCACCAGUCAAGAGAAACACAACUAUGUAGGCCCCUUGAAGGGAAUGAUUCAUGUGAUUGCUGGAGGAGGAGGAGCAAGCCUUCACGAAUUUGCUCCCAUCAAUACCACGUGGAGUAUAUAUAAAGACUAUGAUAAUAGAUUCAUCAAACUUACCGCAUUUGAUCAUUCACACCUUUUGUUUGAAUAAAGAAGAGCAGGGAGGGAAAAAUGUACGACUCUUUCACAAUCUCUCGGGAUUAUAGGGACAUCUUGACCUGUAUUGUUGAUAGUUGUCCAAAAUUUACACUAGCACAAUAGUUUUUUUUUUUUUUUUUUUUUUUUUUUUUUUUUUUUUUGAUAUAAGCACAGUAGUAUCUUGAUACAAAUAUAAGGGAAAUUUUUGUUGAUGAGUGCUAAGUGCCAUUUUUAAAUAAAGAUUCAUUAAUGUUGUGUGUGUUAGCCGUU